UCCCGUGUGGCUCAGUUGGUAGAGCAUGGUGUUUGCAACGCCAGGGUUGUAGGUUCGAUUUCCACGGGGG
rfam:Salmo salar isolate Sally breed double haploid chromosome ssa01, whole genome shotgun sequence.